CACAUCUCACGGUCGGAGUCAGUUUCACAGAGCAGCGCAGGAGGACGACAGACACAUAAAGAACAUUAACAGUUUAGCACAAACGUUUCCCGCGCAAGUUUGGAUCUUUACCAUUGAGGGUGGCUGACUGUUCUCGACCAACCAUCAUUCACACGCAAAAACUUUAAAGAUAAGUAUGAACGUGCCCAGAGCAGUUUUCGAUCUUUACCAUUAAGGAGGCUGACUGACUAUCCUCUACCGCCGUCAUUAACACAAGAAAAACUAAAGAAAUGUUACUCCAUAUGGACCUAUUCAUUUACUCAUUAUGCUGUGAGUACACCACAGUUUUAUCAGGGAAAAAAUGUAUAUUUGUGUGUUUCUCACUGCUUGGCAAGGACAGAUGUGGCCCUGUUAAAAAUGUUUAAAUGUCGUUUGGUUUAAGGAACAGCACACUGAUUUUGUUUUAAAAUAUUCCUGUUUGGACAGUCUGUUAAAGUCAUAAAGGAAUACUUGAUAUAUUUCAUAAGUAAAGUGUAAAUGUAAUAUUAGUUUUUAAUGUUGUGAAUUUGGACUGAACAGCACACUUCUGUUUUAUAUCUAAACCUUUUGUAAAAUAAAUGAUUGUUCAAUAAACUGUGUAUUUUAUCUU